rnacentral:rRNA from 1 species
ACGGAGGGUGCAAGCGUUAUCCGGAUUUAUUGGGUUUAAAGGGUGCGUAGGCGGCUUAAUAAGUCGGUGGUUAAAGGCGGCAGCUUAACUGUACGCAUGCCACCGAUACUGUUAAGCUUGAGUGACUUGGAGGUAGCUAGAAUUCCCUGUGUAGCGGUGAAAUGCAUAGAUACGGGGAGGAAUACCGAUUGCGAAGGCAUGUUACUACGAGUAAACUGACGCUGAUGCACGAAAGCGUGGGGAUCAAACAG